CAGCUCCAAUAGCGUAUAUUAAAGUUGUUGCAGUUAAAAAGCUCGUAGUUGGAUCUAGGGACGCGCAUUUCAAGCGCCCGUGUCGUCGGGUCAAACCGGCGACUGCGUUGGCGUUGCGGGCUCGGUCCGUCGGUGCUCACAAAAGCAUCGGCGUGUCAACCGGCCCGCCCGUCCCCUCCUUCUGGAUUCCCGUUCCUGCUAUUGAGUUAGUGGGGACGUCACAGGGGGCUCAAAUGGCACGGCGGUGGGUCCCUGGGGCCCAGAUCGUUUACCGUGAAAAAAUUAGAGUGUUCAAAGCAGGCAGAUCCAAUUUUCUGCCACCGAAUACAUUAGCAUGGGAUAAUGGAAUAGGACCCUGUCCUCCUAUUUUCAGUUGGUUUUGGCAGCGCGAGGACUAGGGUAAUGAUUAAUAGGGAUAGUUGGGGGCAUUAAUAUUUAAUUGUCAGAGGUGAAAUUCUUGGAUUUAUGAAAGAUUAACUU
rnacentral:rRNA from 1 species